GAAACCUACGGGGCUCUUGGCGGGGCUUGCUGCCUAUCAACUAUUUGGUGCGGYCACGGCUCACCAAGGCGAUGACGGGUAGCUGGCCUGAGAGGAUGGCCACCCACAUUGGGACUGAGAGACGGCCCAGACUCCUACGGGAGGCAGCAGUGGGGAAUCUUGCGCAAUGGCCGAAAGGCUGACGCAGCGACGCCGCGUGGAGGAUGACGCCCUUCGGGGUGUAAACUCCUGUUGCCCGGGACGAAUGCCCUUUUCGAGGGGAGUGACGGUACCGGGUGAGGAAGCACCGGCUAACUCUGUGCCAGCAGCCGCGGUAAUACAGAGGGUGCGAGCGUUGUCCGGAAUCACUGGGCGCGUAGGUGGCUUGGUAAGCGUG
rnacentral:rRNA from 1 species